rnacentral:rRNA from 1 species
GCCCGUCCAAGUUAGUCUGGGGAGCAUUACCCCGGGUAGGAAAGAAGGCCUGUGGGUUGUAAACCUCUUUUUUCAAGGAGGAAGUUCUGACGUGUACUUGAAGAAUAAGCAUCGGCUAACUCCGUGCCAGCAGCCGCGGUAAGACGGAGGAUGCAAGUGUUAUCCGGAAUCACUGGGCGUAAAGCGUCUGUAGGUGGUUUAGUAAGUCAAUUGUUACAAAUUGAAGCUUAACUUCAACCCAGCAAUCGAUACUGCUAAACUUGAGUAUAGUAGAGGUAAAAGGAAUUUCCAGUGGAGCGGUGAAAUGCGUAGAUAUUGGAAAGAACACCGAUGGCGAAGGCAUUUUACUGGGCUAUAACUGACACUCAGAGACGAAAGCUAGGGUAGCAAAUGGGAUUAGAUACCCCAGUAGUACA